CCAGGAGAUGUUGGAGGCUAUUCGCAUGGCCAGUGACACUAUCCAUGUGUAUAAUAACUCAUAACUUCUUUGAGUGUGGGGGCUUCUCUCCCCCACCCCCAACAGAUCAAGACCACCACUUCAACUAAUAGACAUGGAAGCUGCAACUACCAAGUUUCAUCGCUGCACCCCGUGGGUGGUGACUAUAUAUAUCUUUCCACCUUUAUCCUUUCUUUGCUUUUCUCUCCCUUAUGAAUUUCCUUAAGUGUUAUCCUAAUGAUUGCUAUAUUGCUAUAGAUGAUAGAUAACACCCAAAAUGGCAACAUACCUGUUUACCUUUGAAACAAAAUUGUUCUAAAAUAAACCC